rnacentral:rRNA from 1 species
GACGAACGCUGGCGGCGCGCCUAACACAUGCAAGUCGAACGAGAGAGAGGGAGCUUGCUCUUUCAAUCGAGUGGCGAACGGGUGAGUAACGCGUGAGGAACCUGCCUCAAAGAGGGGGACAACAGUUGGAAACGACUGCUAAUACCGCAUAAGCCCACGGCUCGGCAUCGAGCAGAGGGAAAAGGAGCAAUCCGCUUUGAGAUGGCCUCGCGUCCGAUUAGCUAGUUGGUGAGGUAAUGGCCCACCAAGGCGACGAUCGGUAGCCGGACUGAGAGGUUGAACGGCCACAUUGGGACUGAGACACGGCCCAGACUCCUACGGGAGGUAGCAGUGGGGAAUAUUGCACAAUGGGGGAAACCCUGAUGCAGCGACGCCGCGUGGAGGAAGAAGGUCUUCGGAUUGUAAACUCCUGUUGUUGAGGAAGAUAAUGACGGUACUCAACAAGGA